UUUUUUUCAAUAAUAAUAUAUGGCCAAUUAUUCCGACUAACAAUCGAGCAGAGCUUCAACAGUUUCAACCAAGCCUACAUAAAAUGGAUAAUUAUUAUCAUCUACGAUCAUACUACUAGAGUCACGAUAUACCACUGAUAUACUUGUAAGCGGGUUAUCCGAAACCAUAGAUGCAUCAUCAUGAUUAGCUUUUCGAGUCAAGCGAUAAGAGUUAAAAUACAAUCUUAUCAUGCGGGACCCGAAGAACCUUGUUAUUGGAAUAAUU
rnacentral:lncRNA from 1 species